CAAUAGCGUAUAUUAAAGUUGUUGCAGUUAAAAAGCUCGUAGUUGGAUUUCUGGUUGAAGCGACCGGUCGGGCGUUGAUUCGUCUGCACUGGAGUCGGUUUUGGCCAUCCUCUAGGAAAGUGCGUCUGGUAUUAAGUUAUCGGGCGUAUGAUCCUGGUCUUUUACUGUGAAAAAAUUAGAGUGUUUAAAGCAGGCCUUCGCCUUGAAUACAUUAGCAUGGAAUAAUAAGAUAGGACUUUGGUCUAUUUUGUUGGUUUGCAGACCGAAGUAAUGAUUAAUAGGGAUAGUUGGGGGUAUUUAUAUUCCGAUGUCAGAGGUGAAGUUCUUAGAUUUUCGGAAGAUAAACUUAUGCGAAAGCAUUUACCAAGGAUGUUUUCAUUAA
rnacentral:rRNA from 1 species